rnacentral:rRNA from 1 species
ACUCCUACGGGAGGCAGCAGUGGGGAAUAUUGGACAAUGGGCGAAAGCCUGAUCCAGCAAUGCCAUGUGUGUGAAGAAGGCUCUAGGGUUGUAAAGCACUUUAGUUGGGGAGGAAAGCUUAUGAGUUAAUAGCUUGUAGGAAGGACGUUACCCAAAGAAUAAGGACCGGCUAACUCCGUGCCAGCAGCCGCGGUAAUACGGGGGGUCCGAGCGUUAAUCGGAAUUACUGGGCGUAAAGGGUCUGUAGGUGGUUUGUUAAGUCAGAUGUGAAAGCCCAGGGCUCAACCUUGGAACUGCAUUUGAUACUGGCAAACUAGAGUAUGGUAGAGGAAUGGGGAAUUUCUGGUGUAGCGGUGAAAUGCGUAGAGAUCAGAAGGAACACCAAUGGCGAAGGCAACAUUCUGGACCGAUACUGACACUGAGGGACGAAAGCGUGGGAUCAAACAGGAUUAGAUACCCUGGUAGGACAGUG